rnacentral:rRNA from 1 species
UACGUAGGGUCCAAGCGUUAUCCGGAAUCACUGGGCGUAAAGCGUGCGUAGGCGGGAGUCUAAGUGAGAUGCGAAAUCCGGUGGCUCAACCAUCUGGACUGUAUCUCAUACUGGGCACCUCGAGGACGGCAGAGGCAAGCGGAAUUACUGGUGUAGCAGUGAAAUGCGUAGAUAUCAGUAGGAACACCGAUGGCGAAGGCAGCCCCCUGGGUUAACACUGACGCUCAUGCACGAAAGCGUGGGGAGCAAACAGG